AUUGAACGCUGGCGGCAGGCCUAACACAUGCAAGUCGAGCGGAGCGGCGGACGGGUGAGUAAUGCCUAGGAAUCUGCCUGGUAGUGGGGGAUAACGUCCUGAAACGGGCGCUAAUACCGCAUACUAUCAGAUGAGCCUGGGUCGGAUUGGCUAGUUGGGGGGGUAUAGGCCUACCAAGGCGACGUUCCGUAACUGGUCUGAGAGGUUGAUCAGUCAAAAUGGAACUGAGACACGGGCCAGACUCCUACGGGAGGCAGCAGUGGGGAAUAUUGGACAAUGGGCGAAAGCCUGAUGCAGCCAUGCCGCGUGUGUGAAGAAGGCCUUCGGGUUGUAAAGCACUUUCAGCGGGGAGGCGUUACCCGCAGAAGAAGCACCGGCUAACUCCGUGCCAGCAGCCGCGGUAAUAC
rnacentral:rRNA from 1 species